CCUACGGGAGGCAGCAGUAGGGAAUAUUGCACAAUGGGGGAAACCCUGAUGCAGCGACGCCGCGUGAGUGAGGAAGUAUUUCGGUAUGUAAAGCUCUAUCAGCAGGGAAGAAAAUGACGGUACCUGACUAAGAAGCCCCGGCUAACUACGUGCCAGCAGCCGCGGUAAUACGUAGGGGGCAAGCGUUAUCCGGAUUUACUGGGUGUAAAGGGCGCGUAGACGGCAGCACAAGUCUGAAGUGAAAUGCCGGGGCUUAACCCCGGAACUGCUUUGGAAACUGUGCAGCUAGAGUGCAGGAGAGGUAAGUGGAAUUCCUAGUGUAGCGGUGAAAUGCGUAGAUAUUAGGAGGAACACCAGUGGCGAAGGCGGCUUACUGGACUGUAACUGACGUUGAGGCUCGAAAGCGUGGGGAGCAAACAGGAUUAGAUACCCCAGUAGUC
rnacentral:rRNA from 1 species